AUUGAACGCUGGCGGCAGGCCUAACACAUGCAAGUCGAACGAGUGGCGGACGGGUGAGUAAUGUCUGGGAAACUGCCCGAUGGAGGGGGAUAACUACUGGAAACGGUAGCUAAUACCGCAUACCAUCGGAUGUGCCCAGAUGGGAUUAGCUAGUAGGUGGGGUAACGGCUCACCUAGGCGACGAUCCCGAGCUGGUCUGAGAGGAUGACCAGCAACACUGGAACUGAAACACAGUCCAUGCUCCUACUGGAGGCAGCAGUGGGGAAUAUUGCACAAUAGACGCAAGCCUGAUGCAGCAAUACCGCGUGUAUGAAGAAGGCGUUCGGGUUGUAAAGUACUUUCAGCGAGGAGGCGUUACUCGCAGAAGAAGCACCGGCUAACUCCGUACCAGCAGCCGCGGUGAUAC
rnacentral:rRNA from 1 species